UCUCAUUUGCCCAUGUAACAUGGCUGCUUAGCUAGUUUUCUGGUCUUUUUAGAGGAAAUUGUCCCCUGUGUAGCUGAACACUCGGUGUAUCUAUGGGAGGAGCUAAUGGAACAGUCUGCCACUUGUUCCAGUUCUAUUGGGGAAACUUAACCUUGCUGGAAGAGAUUUUUCCAACAAAAGACUGUCUUUGUAAAUCACCUAUAAGGAAGUACUGGGAUGAGUUUGCUACUCAAUUGAUCACUGGGAAGCAAUUGAAGCUGGAUUCUGCCUCCUGUUGAAAACCCACUCAGUCUUCCUCUUCCCAAAACAAGACAAGUCCCCAUCCUGCCCUCCAGGUACAUAGACUAGGAUGCUAAAACUCCUUUGGAAAGAAGAGCUGCCUGAAUAGAUAGCCCAGGGCAUUUUGAAAACUC